rnacentral:rRNA from 1 species
ACACAUGCAAGUCGAGCGGUAGCACAGAGAGCUUGCUCUCGGGUGACGAGCGGCGGACGGGUGAGUAAUGUCUGGGAAACUGCCUGAUGGAGGGGGAUAACUACUGGAAACGGUAGCUAAUACCGCAUAACGUCGCAAGACCAAAGAGGGGGACCUUCGGGCCUCUUGCCAUCGGAUGUGCCCAGAUGGGAUUAGCUAGUAGGUGGGGUAAAGGCUCACCUAGGCGACGAUCCCUAGCUGGUCUGAGAGGAUGACCAGCCACACUGGAACUGAGACACGGUCCAGACUCCUACGGGAGGCAGCAGUGGGGAAUAUUGCACAAUGGGCGCAAGCCUGAUGCAGCCAUGCCGCGUGUGUGAAGAAGGCCUUCGGGUUGUAAAGCACUUUCAGCGGGGAGGAAGGCAUUAAGGUUAAUAACCUUAGUGAUUGACGUUACCCGCAGAAGAAGCACCGGCUAACUCCGUGCCAGCAGCCGCGGUAAUACGGAGGGUGCAAGCGUUAAUCGGAAUUACUGGGCGUAAAGCGCACGCAGGCGGUCUGUCAAGUCGGAUGUG